CAAAAUGGCGGCUUCCGGGACAGGGCCUUGGCUAAACUGCCGUGAAGAAAGAAACUUUGCAAAUGCCCUCAGUGCAGAGAUGAAAUUCUGAGACACAACUUUUAAGAUGAUCGAUGUUGCAGCACUGUGCAGAGCCAAUGUCAGACAGCUCCAGGAUGGAUGUGCUGCUGGCCAAGCCAAGCCAUUCAACUCUGAUAGUAGCACCACUGGGAUACCACAGCUGGGAAGGAGUGGGGGAAAUGCACAACAGCAACUUGAGCCAGAGAGAGAAUCAAGAAUGCGAAAGAAACCUCAAGGUGAGUGCAGAAGGAGGGGCAGAAGGUGCUCCAGGCACCAGAGCUGAGAUUCCCCUGCAGCCCGUGGGGCAGCCCAUGGUGAGGCAGCUGUGCCCCUGCAGCCCAUGGAGGACCACAGCUGGACAGACAUCCUCCUGGAGCCCAUGGAGGACCCCACAAUGAAGUAUGUGGAUGCCUGAGGGAGGCUGUGAUCCCAUGGGAAGCCCGCACUCUACCUGUGUACCUGUGAAAAGAGGAGCCCAUGCUGGAGCAGGUUUCUUCACAGAACUUGUGACCCUGUGAUGGACCCCAUGCUGGAGCUAUCUGUUCACUCUCUGUUCCCCUGUGCCUCUUGCAGAGGUGUAGGUUGAGAAAUCUGAAAGGAAAGUUGAGCCUGGAAAGAAAGGACAGGAGCAGGGAAGGUGUUUUUAUGAUGUGGGUUUAUUUUUCAUUAUUCUACUCUUAUUUGCUUGGUAAUAAAUUAACUAAUUCCCCACAUUUUGUCUGGUUUGCCCAUUACAGUCACUGGUGAGUGAUCUCUCUCCCUGCUCUUAUGCUGACCCACAAGCCCUUUGUUAUAUUUUCUCUCCCCUGCUCAGUUAAGAAGUGACAGGAUGGCUUUGGUGGCCACCUGGCAUCGAGCCAGGGUCAACCCACCUUUUCAUUCCUCUAAUGAAAAGGAAAUUUGCCCAAGGAACUUGGUAGGCACUGACACUUCAGGAUACAAAAUGACAGAAGCAAUUUUCUGUUUAAUCAGAGGUGCCUACAAUUCCAGAUUAAUUCUUUAUAUUUGUUACUUGAAAUGUGAAAACCUUAAUGUUCAUCUGUCAAUUUUCACAGUCAAAAGUGAAAGAGAUGAAAAUCAAAGUAAUAAUAGUAGAAAAAGUCACAUGUAAUUUCACUCAAAAAACUUAGCUUGCCAGAAAUAUGAUUGGCACACAUCACAAUGUAUCAGUGGAAGAAACAUUAUUAAAUACUAACCUUUCAUACCCCUUUUAUCUCCCAUGCAUCUUUUAGGUAAUUAUUUUUGUUAUAAUGCUCAGCAAUUAUUGCAAAGUACUUUAUGUAAGUGAUUCCAUGUGACUGCACUUAUAUUACAUCACACAAUAUAUCCUUAUCUUUUGAAGUUUAUACCUGGCAUGCAGAGUCCCAUGACUACCCUAUUAUAUUGUUUGUGCUAAAUUGUCAAGACAAAAAAUUUGGUUAAACUUAAUGUAUUGACACAUCAUCAAAUUUAUUACUGAAUUUAUUCUAACCAAUAGACACUAUAGUCAUCUGUUAACUAGCAAAAUAUCUGUGCCUUUAAAAAAAUCUAAUACACUUUAAAUAGUCAUAAUAAAAACAAAAUUAUCAACUUAAAAUACGUUGCCUCCUAGUAAAUAUUUCCUCAGUUACCCACUAUUGAGCCUUCUCCAGAUCUUCCUGUCCUUUGGAGGGAAUACUAACACCUCUAAGUCUUUCAGCUGCAUCUUCUGAGAAGAUUGGCUUCACACUUCCAUACCAUUCACUUCUGUUGGUGCAGUUCAAGAGGCAGCAAUUUUUGACAGCAUUUUAUAAGACUGACAAGA